UAGGGAGUUUUCGGCAAUGGGGGAAACCCUGACCGAGCAACGCCGCGUGAAUGAUGAAGGUCUUCGGAUCGUAAAAUUCUGUUGUAAGGGACGAAUGGUUGGAGGAGGAAAUGCCUUCAAUUUGACUGUACCUUAUUAGAAAGCCACGGCUAACUACGUGCCAGCAGCCGCGGUAAUACGUAGGUGGCAAGCGUUAUCCGGAAUUAUUGGGCGUAAAGAGUGAGCAGGCGGUUAUUUAAGUCUGGAGUCAAAUGCAAUGGCUUAACCAUUGUUCGCUUCGGAAACUGAAUGACUAGAGUUCGAGAGAAGUUAACGGAAUUCCAUGUGUAGCGGUGAAAUGCGUAGAUAUAUGGAGGAACACCAGUGGCGAAGGCGGUUAACUAGCUCGAUACUGACGCUCAGUCACGAAAGCGUGGGUAGCAAAUA
rnacentral:rRNA from 1 species